CGCGAAUAGCUCAUUACAACAGCUAUAAUUUACUUGAUCUUGACAAUCCUACUUGGAUAACUGUGGUAAUUCUAGAGCUAAUACAUGCACCAAAGCUCUGACCUUACGGGAAGAGUGCAUUUAUUAGAACAAAACCAAGCGGCUUCGGCUGUUUUCGGUUGACUCAUAGUAACUGAGCUGAUCGCAUGGUCUUGCACCGGCGACGUGUCUUUCGAGUAUCUGCCGUAUCAACUCUCGAUGGUAGUGUAUCUGACUACCAUGGUGAUCACGCGUAACGGAGAAUAAGGGUUCGACUCCGGAGAGUUCGCCUGAGAAAUCGCGAACACAUCUAAGGAAGGCAGCAGGCGCGAAAAUUACCCACUCUCAGCACGAGGAGGUAGUGACGAAAAAUAACGAGACCGUUCUCUUAUGAGGCCGGUCAUCGGAAUGGGUACAAUUUAAACCCUUUAACGAGUAUCUAUGAGAGGGCAAGUCUGGUGCCAGCAGCCGCGGUAAUUCCAGCU
rnacentral:rRNA from 1 species